AAUAUUGCACAAUGGGCGCAAGCCUGAUGCAGCAACGCCGCGUGAGGGAUGACGGCCUUCGGGUUGUAAACCUCUUCUAGUAGGGAAGAAGCGAAAGUGACGGUACCUACAGAAAAAGCAGCGGCUCACUACGUGCCAGCCGCCGCGGUAAUACGUAGGGUGCAAGCGUUGUCCGGAAUCAUUGGGCGUAAAGAGCUCGUAGGCGGCUGGUCGCGUCUGCUGUGAAAUCCCGAGGCUCAACCUCGGGCGUGCAGUGGGUACGGGCAGGCUAGAGUGCGGUAGGGGAGAUUGGAAUUCCUGGUGUAGCGGUGGAAUGCGCAGAUAUCAGGAGGAACACCGAUGGCGAAGGCAGAUCUCUGGGCCGCUACUGACGCUGAGGAGCGAAAGCAUGGGGAGCGAACA
rnacentral:rRNA from 1 species